rnacentral:lncRNA from 1 species
AAAAAAAAAAACUGUUCUCUCUCUGAUCUCAUAUAAUGUGGCCCAACACAAUUCUUCCAAUGUGGCCCUCUGAUCUAUACCUAUCAGCAUUCCAAUCCAUCCCAGCAGAACAGUCCCCAUAACCAUCACUCUAUCUUUGGAGCCAUAGACUCAUGUUUUUGUCACAUUCAAAUCCUCCCAUCUGCAUGGUAUAAUGUAAACCCAAAUUCAUUAGACCAUAAGGCCUUUUUACAUUGUUCAAUGGUCCUUGGCAAACAGCAAGCAACAUUUUCUUUUUUGGCUUGAGGUUCCUGUUAACAACCGAGAAGAAGAAAUGUAAGACGGAGUGUUAAAUUUCAACAAGUGGUAUGUUGCAACAUGAUAUUCAGGAUACCAAUGUUGUAUUCAGCAAUCAGUUGUGCACAUGUAACCCUCCUGAGUCGUCUCUGACCCGUUCAUUUGCCUUUGUUUUCCAACUGGAGUGUGACUUGCUGCUGGAAAUUUUUUUUGUAUAUUCACCUAUUUGUGGUGUUCUCAGAAGUCCUAUCAGUGUCACAGUUCUGGCAAUGCUAGUAGCUGCUGUCCAAGCACUUGCAAUCAUUCAUUUGAAAGCAGUUAAAAUCUCUCUCUUAUCCAUGUCACUGAUAUCACACUUGUAAUAAUCAAAACACAGACAGAUGCACCAGCAGCACUGUCCAACUAUGCCAUCUAUUGAUGAUUUUGAUCCACAAGUACAAUGUAGUUGCUGUCUCUAAUAAAGUGGUAUUAUAUACAGUCUGUUAUAGGUUACUAUUAAACAGGAGAUAUAUAAGGAUAUAUAUCCUUAUAUCUGUUAUGAUAGUUAUUACAAUAUAUGU